rnacentral:rRNA from 1 species
UACGUAGGGCGCAAGCGUUGUCCGGAAUUAUUGGGCGUAAAGAGCUCGUAGGCGGUUUGUCGCGUCUGCCGUGAAAACCCGAGGCUUAACCUCGUGGCUUGCGGUGGAUACGGGCAGGCUAGAGUUCGGCAGGGGAGACUGGAAUUCCUGGUGUAGCGGUGAAAUGCGCAGAUAUCAGGAGGAACACCGGUGGCGAAGGCGGGUCUCUGGGCCGAUACUGACGCUGAGGAGCGAAAGCGUGGGGAGCGAACAGG